rnacentral:rRNA from 1 species
UACGUAGGGGGCAAGCGUUGUCCGGAAUCAUUGGGCGUAAAGAGCGUGUAGGCGGCCCGAUAAGUCCGCUGUGAAAGUCCAGGGCUCAACCCUGGAAUGCCGGUGGAUACUGUCGGGCUCGAAUCCGGAAGAGGUGAGUGGAAUUCCUGGUGUAGCGGUGAAAUGCGCAGAUACCAGGAGGAACACCAAUGGCGAAGGCAGCUCACUGGGACGGUAGUUGACGCUGAGGAGCGAAAGUGUGGGGAGCGGAACAGG